GACGAACGCUGGCGGCGUGCUUAACACAUGCAAGUCGAACGAUGAAGCACCAGCUUGCUGGUGUGGAUUAGUGGCGAACGGGUGAGUAACACGUGAGUAACCUGCCCCUCACUCUGGGAUAAGCCUGGGAAACUGGGUCUAAUACUGGAUACGACCGAUCUCCGCAUGGAGUGUUGGUGGAAAGUUUUUGUGGUGGGGGAUGGACUCGCGGCCUAUCAGCUUGUUGGUGGGGUAAUGGCCUACCAAGGCGACGACGGGUAGCCGGCCUGAGAGGGCGACCGGCCACACUGGGACUGAGACACGGCCCAGACUCCUACGGGAGGCAGCAGUGGGGAAUAUUGCACAAUGGGCGAAAGCCUGAUGCAGCGACGCCGCGUGAGGGAUGACGGCCUUCGGGUUGUAAACCUCUUUCACCAGGGACGAAGCUAACGUGACGGUACCUGGAGAAGAAGCACCGGCUAACUACGUGCCAGCAGCCGCGGUAAUACGUAGGGUGCGAGCGUUGUCCGGAAUUAUUGGGCGUAAAGAGCUUGUAGGCGGUUUGUCGCGUCUGCUGUGAAAGACCGGGGCUUAACUCCGGUUCUGCAGUGGGUACGGGCAGACUAGAGUGUGGUAGGGGAGACUGGAAUUCCUGGUGUAGCGGUGAAAUGCGCAGAUAUCAGGAGGAACACCGAUGGCGAAGGCAGGUCUCUGGGCCAUUACUGACGCUGAGAAGCGAAAGCAUGGGGAGCGAACAGG
rnacentral:rRNA from 1 species